ACGGAGGGUGCAAGCGUUGUUCGGAAUCACUGGGCGUAAAGGGCGCGCAGGCGGUUUGGUAAGUCAGAUGUGAAAGCCCACGGCUUAACCGUGGAAGUGCAUUUGAAACUGCCAGACUUGAGUAUCAGAGAGGAAAGUGGAAUUCCCGGUGUAGCGGUGAAAUGCGUAGAUAUCGGGAGGAAUACCGGUGGCGAAGGCAGCUUUCUGGCUGAAUACUGACGCUGAGGCGCGAAAGCGUGGGGAGCAAACAG
rnacentral:rRNA from 1 species